rnacentral:sRNA from 1 species
CCACCAGCUAAUGAGCGCCGAGGAUACAAAACACAAGACACAUAAUUUACUUAAGCCUCACGGUUUUGUUGUUAGUUUUUGAGGUUCCUCUAAGAGUCUUGUUGAUAUGAGCUCUCAUUGGAAGAAGCAAACACCCCAAACUGAACCAAUUCUAUUCGUGGCCCUGUGGAGGAGGAGUGAGUCAGCAUUGUUCAGACUAGCAUCUCCAAUGACCCAAGGAGGCGCAUUCACCAAUCCUGGAACCUGCCUGACACCCAGAGACAACAAAGAAAGAGUGUGUAACUGUGGCAGCCAAUCGGCUGGUGCCAGCUGUGUGACCAGCUGUUAUGGACUGAGGGGAAAGGUAUAAAGGCACUCCUCACUAUUUCAGUAAAUGAGUCUGCUUCGGCUUCUCACCUGA